rfam:Human echovirus 11 strain Kh5/96 5' non-translated region, partial sequence.
UUCCCACCCAUAGGGCCCACGGGGCGCCAGCACUCUGGUAUCACGGUACCCUUGUGCGCCUGUUUUAUAA